rnacentral:rRNA from 1 species
CUUUAUUGGAGAGUUUGAUCCUGGCUCAGGAUGAACGCUGGCGGCGUGCCUAAUACAUGCAAGUCGAGCGAAUGGAUUGAGAGCUUGCUCUCAAGAAGUUAGCGGCGGACGGGUGAGUAACACGUGGGUAACCUGCCCAUAAGACUGGGAUAACUCCGGGAAACCGGGGCUAAUACCGGAUAACAUUUUGAA